AUGCAGUGAAGAAGCUCUUAAAAUUGACCCAUGACUAGCAAUCGCCAUUUUGUCCACUUCAAAAUGAAAUAUUGAAAAAGAAGGUUCAAAGGCAGAAUUGUAUCUUCUUUCACCUCAUUAUAACGCUGGCUUUUUGCUCUUCGUCGGUGACAUUUCCGUUUUGUCGGUUUUGUAACCAUUCGCCUUUCCUUAUUUUAUACAACUUUUUAUAUCGGCGAAAUGAUAUUUGUUGGAUAAAAUAUACAAUUUAAGUAGCCGUUACUUUAAAACGGCAAAAUAAAAUAAAAUGAAUCUAAACGAGCUCUUGAAAGAGUGUCCGCAACAUGCUUACUAUCCUAAUAACGAAUACUCUGAAGAACUAGGGCUGAUUGACUACGAGCCGACUGAGGCUCGUAGAGAAUGGACCUCCCAGACCACUAUAUGGAUGAUGGCGUUUGCUCUACUGCUGUGGUUGAUCACGUAUCUCAUGGUCAUGACCCUAACCAUGUGCUUCGACAUCAGUUUUCGGUCCAUGGCGAGUUUCACUGGCAUACAUUGGUACAAUGGAACUUUGUUAGCUAGCGAGGAUCAUUCAAGAUACAUUAUAGCUUAUUAAAUUGUGUUUUUAUCUAGUAAUAAAGAGUGCGUUUGGUGGUA